rnacentral:tRNA from 1 species
GCCAGCUUAGCUCAGAUGGCAGAGCAGCUCAUUCGUAAUGAGCAGGUCUAGGGUUCGAGUCCCUAAGCUGGCU